CCUACGGGAGGCAGCAGUGAGGAAUAUUGGUCAAUGGACGAGAGUCUGAACCAGCCAAGUAGCGUGAAGGAUGACUGCCCUAUGGGUUGUAAACUUCUUUUAUAUGGGAAUAAAAUGUUCCACGUGUGGGAUUUUGUAUGUACCGUAUGAAUAAGGAUCGGCUAACUCCGUGCCAGCAGCCGCGGUAAUACGGAGGAUCCGAGCGUUAUCCGGAUUUAUUGGGUUUAAAGGGAGCGUAGGUGGAUUGUUAAGUCAGUUGUGAAAGUUUGCGGCUCAACCGUAAAAUUGCAGUUGAAACUGGCAGUCUUGAGUACAGUAGAGGUGGGCGGAAUUCGUGGUGUAGCGGUGAAAUGCUUAGAUAUCACGAAGAACUCCGAUUGCGAAGGCAGUUCACUGGACUGCAACUGACACUGAGGCUCGAAAGUGUGGGUAUCAAACAGGAUUAGAUACCCCAGUAGUC
rnacentral:rRNA from 1 species